rnacentral:rRNA from 1 species
UGGUAGAGAGAAGAGAAAUUAAUGGGUUGGAAGUUACUCGAUUCACGUACAUCUUUAAUUCUUUUGAUACAUAUACAUAUCUUACGAUAACUAGAAUUAAUGGCACACUACUCUCUUUUAUGAAAUUUUACAUAACUCUUCUAUCUUUAUAUGAAAAAACAUUUGUUUAAAAUUUGAGUUUGCAUGUGAGGAGUAUCCUGCCUCCCACAUGGACAAUAUCACUAAAGUUCAUGUUUAUCAUCAGUGUACGCUAAGGGUCGAGUUGGGAAGGGUCGAGUCGGCGGCGUGCCGGAAAAAUUGGCGGUGUGCAGGGGUUCUAUGUGGGUUAUUAACCGUGUGCGAAGCCGCGGGUAGGAGUGCCAAAGAAGAUCGGAUUUUCAGUUCGUCUCCUCCUCCUCCUCCUCGUGACUCCGAAGAUCUUUGAACUCCGUCCCUGCAGGCCGUCCUCCGUACACCCCCGCCGUGAUGACCCCGCCGGCCGCCGGCUCGCUGCCGGGGCGCCCACGCCUCCGGCCGCCGCCGCACCACCACUACAAGCGCACCGACAGCUCAGUCCUCGCCGUGCACGCGCGCAUGCACCUGGACAUGCGCCGGGAACCCACCCGCACGGAGCAGACGGUGAGGCUGAAGCAGUGGGACAAAUACGGCCUCUUCCGACGACACGAACGACUGGCCCACGAGUGCCUCGAGCACUUCCUUGACUUAUAAUCUGGUCAUGGACAACACAAACGUAGGAAAAGCCCUCCUGGUUUUCCAACGUGUAUGUUCCAAGAAGUCGACUAGCUCCCUUCCACGUUUCCCGUCGACUCAAACCCACUGAUAGUUGAACAUGCCCUGACGCAUACACCUGUUUAUAUACUGAGCUCAGGACAUCUAAAACACUCACUAAAUCCGUGGGCGAAAGAGGAAGUGGGUUCACAGGACUUCUACGGACUUGGAGGUGCACAGAAUAGUACCUACUGAUCUCCGUAACGGAGCCCAGAUCUGUGAGAAAAGUAACCGUUCAAACUUCGUGUCGCGUUUCUUAUAACCCUCUGUGAUAUGAGCAGUCACGUACAACCGGGUUAUGAGUAUAAGACAAGUCUCCUACUACUUGAACGAGGUACAAGUCAGCAAGUUUUAAAACCUGCCGCAGACGACCUCGACCCACCACUACACUUAAAUCAAUUUACCGUGUCAAGAGGUGUACUGUAAUGUUCGUAGUGUGACUCCUUAUGGCUCGACGUCACUGACUCGACGAGUACUUCCGAAGUCGCGAAAUGUGUUCGUCUUUUGCUGAGUUACUGAUGUCACAGCCGUGCUCACUCCUGUCACUGUGUGGAAUAAGCAGAGCGUUAGAUGUAUUCUGACGACAUUCGAGGUCACUAUCCGAUCCCUCCCAAAGUCGACUAGGUCGGUUAGUAAAGAAGAAUGGCUCAAGGUACCUCAUGGUGCUUUCGUCGUCACUUCACGAUUUUGGGCUCAACAAGUUGUACGGCUCACAACUUUCGCGCUUCUUGGGACUACCGGACAACCCCUUCUACGAGAUACUACAUACACAGGGUUUCUUGCACCUUCCGACCCUGAAGUUCGAACGUAGUUAUCUACCCGUCGCAUACGUAAAAUGACGAGUAGUCGUACCAUGAAGGUUAGGUUGUUUUACAUAUGCGGUGAGUUCUAACAUUACUAAAACUGAGUUGUAGAUUCACGUAAGGUCGUCUGACGAGAUAUGACGGUCUCAUAUGAACAAACUCCUCUUACAAUAACACAACUGGAAAAGACCUUUCCGUACCGUUUUGCUUACGAAAAAAUACCUCUAAAAUCAACGGCACUUCUACCGUUUAAGGAAUCUGGAACAAGCCAACUGUCCCUUCAUUUCCCCUAAUUUAGGGAUUGUUCAGUUUUAGGAAAGGUUAGGUCAGGUUAGGGGAAACCCUCCUGCUAAUUGGCUUGUUCCGGAAUAGCUUCGUUCUGUUUAAGGGCGAAUAUUAGCCAAAAGACAUCCUUUUCAAUCCUAAGAGUUUACUACUGUAAUGACGUUCAGAACUCCGGGUCUUUGUUGGUCAACAGUUACGAAACUGUGUCGUCGUCCUUCUAGGUCUUCGACAGAUCGUGCGGACCGUUUGGUCGUACUGCUUGAACUACAAUAAGAGACCGUACCGUUGUCGAUCUUGAACUUUGACAGUUCUUCCGGGACCGUCUCGUCGUCGUUCUUGCAAUUCAACACUUCCUAGGCGUUGUACUUGAAGUUACACACUUCUAAUGGGAACAUGCCGUGGUUUUUGAUGGACUUCCGGAGUUCUUCCGGGACGGUCUCCUCGUUCUACUUUAACUUCUAGACUUUUACCCGAACAAUCUAUACGUAUUGGCGGAACUUAUAUAGUUGUGGCGGGAACAUCUCGUCGUCCUUCUUGACCUUCAGCAGUUCUUACGCUUCCUUCUCUUUUGUAACCGAUGCAGCACUCCUAACGUAGCUGUCCUAGGCUACGGAUCUCGACUUGUUUGUGGAGGUAGUAUGACCACGUAACAAACUUUUAACGUGCUGAUAUAGUGUACCAACCAAUAACAUUACCGAGUCUGUCAGACAAAUUCUUACAGUUCAAAUGCCAAAUUAUUAUCGUCGCUAUCGACUUAAACGUAAGUUUA